GACGAACGCUGGCGGCGUGCCUAAUACAUGCAAGUCGAACGAACCGCGACUAGGUGCUUGCACUUGGUCAAGGUGAGUGGCGAACGGGUGAGUAACACGUGGGUAACCUACCUCAUAGUGGGGGAUAACAGUCGGAAACGACUGCUAAUACCGCAUAGGACAUAGGAUCACAUGAUUCUGUGAGGAAGGGUGGCGCAAGCUAUCGCUAAGAGAUGGACCCGCGGUGCAUUAGCUAGUUGGUAGGGUAAAGGCCUACCAAGGCGAUGAUGCAUAGCCGACCUGAGAGGGUGAUCGGCCACAUUGGGACUGAGACACGGCCCAAACUCCUACGGGAGGCAGCAGUAGGGAAUCUUCCGCAAUGGACGCAAGUCUGACGGAGCAACGCCGCGUGAGUGAAGAAGGUCUUCGGAUCGUAAAGCUCUGUUGUUAGAGAAGAACAGCGCAUAGAGUAACUGUUAUGCGUGUGACGGUAUCUAAACAGAAAGCCACGGCUAACUACGUG
rnacentral:rRNA from 1 species